rnacentral:lncRNA from 1 species
ACUAACAAACGAUUAUCCAUUCCUAGACUAAACCUGUUUAUUAGAACAAUUCAAUUAUGUCUAAGUAGAAAGCUAUGGUCAGUAGUCAUUCAUUCUCACUAAAUCAUGUUUAUAUUUGAUCAAGAUAUAAAAAACAUUAAGAACAAUCGAAUUGAAUAAAAACUAGAUUGUCAUUCACAAUAGAUAGAGUUUCACAGCAACAUGGUUCAAUUAGGAUUACAAAGAAUCAUCUCAGACCUAAUCUCUAAGAGAUUUAGCUACUCAUAAUUGAGUUUACAAAUAGCAUAAUCAAUAGUGGAAUCAAAACAUACAUGAACUGAUAGAAGGUUGAAGAAAUCGCCCUCCUAGCCGUCUUUAGGUCUCAAAAUCGCACUUUGCUCUCUCCAAUUUGUAACCCUUGUUUUCAGAAUAGUCUUCAGCUUAAAUAGGCAAGAACUGCUCCUAAAAUCGUGGCACGAUUUAAGUAAAUCGUGACACGUUUCUGCUUGUGUAACAAACCACCAAAAUUAGGGUUUCCAUAAUCGUGUCACGUUUUUGCCAUCGUAACACGUUUUCACCAAUGUCGAAUGCAAGUUUCUUUAAAACUCCAAAUCGUGACACGUUUUUUAGUUAUCGUGACAUGAUUCCCUUUCUUCAGUUUCUUCGAUUUUUCUUGCUGCUUAAGCUUGCUUUUGAACUCAACAAUAUCAUAAAAAGACUCUAAAAAUAGCGAAUGACUGACUGUCAUCACUUCACAAUAUGUUUUUCUGACUUAAAAGGAUUCUGAAUUUGUUUUAUAAUUUUCAUGAUAGUAGAAUUUUGUGUAUGGAGUUAAUCAAAUGGAGCUGCAAGAAAUGUAAGAGUUUGUUGUAUUCUAAGUUGGAGACCUACGUCUUCAGAAGGAGUACCUCUAACAUCUCCUGCUACUAUUUUUCAAGAUGAAAGAGCAGAGAUGAUGUUGGUAUUGUUCUUCUCUCAAGGUCUAAUAACAUUGUGAAUGAUACAUUCAACAUAUAUCAAGUGCUAAUUGCCAACUGAAGCACUGGUUUAUCCUUAGCAUAUUUAUAUAGCUAUGGAGAAGUCAGAAAUUUCGGAUUGAUUUGACAAAAAAAAUCCAAAACAGUUUUUUAUUCUCAUUAUUCAAUAAAAUGAAACUGCACCUAAUUUUUUAUUUUACCUUUGUAUUUUAAAAUCUUUCAAUAGAAAAAAUAAUUAUAACAUUAUAUUCACUGAUCAAAAUGUUCUAAGUAGCUAAUUUCAGAAAAUUAG